CCGGCGCACGGGUGAGUAACGCGUGUGCAACCUGCCCGGCACAGUGGGAUAAUCCGGAGAAAUCCGGUCUAAUACCGCAUGACGCGGGAAGGGCGCAUGCCUUUUCCGCCAAAGGAGGCGACUCCGGUGCCGGCUGGGCACGCGUGACAUUAGCUAGUUGGCGGGGCGACGGCCCACCAAGGCGACGAUGUCUAGGGGUUCUGAGAGGAAGGUCCCCCACACUGGUACUGAGACACGGCCCAUACUCCUACGGGAGGCAGCAG
rnacentral:rRNA from 1 species